GUGGCUAUAGCUCAGUCGGUAGAGCGCUGGAUUGUGGUUCCAGAUGUCACGGGUUCAAAUCCCGUUAGCCACCCCA
rnacentral:tRNA from 1 species